AGUCGAGCGAGUCUGCCUUGAAGAUCGGAGUGCUUGCACUCUGUGAAACAAGAUACAGGCUAGCGGCGGACGGGUGAGUAACACGUGGGUAACCUGCCCAAGAGAUCGGGCUAACACCUGGAAACAGAUGCUAAUACCGGAUAACAACAGAUGAUGCCUAUCAACUGUUUAAAAGAUGGUUCUGCUAUCACUCUCGGAUGGACCUGCGGUGCAUUAGCUAGUUGGUAGGGUAACGGCCUACCAAAGCGAUGAUGCAUAGCCGAGUUGAGAGACUGAUCGGCCACAUUGGGACUGAGACACGGCCCAAACUCCUACGGGAGGCAGCAGUAGGGAAUCUUCCACAAUGGACGCAAGUCUGAUGGAGCAACGCCGCGUGAGUGAAGAAGGGUUUCGGCUCGUAAAGCUCUGUUGUUGGUGAAGAAGGACAGGGGUAGUAACUGACCUUUGUUUGACGGUAAUCAAUUAGAAAGUCACGGCUAACUACGUGCCAGCAGCCGCGGUAAUACGUAGGUGGCAAGCGUUGUCCGGAUUUAUUGGGCGUAAAGCGAGUGCAGGCGGUUCGAUAAGUCUGAUGUGAAAGCCUUCGGCUCAACCGGAGAAUUGCAUCAGAAACUGUCGAGCUUGAGUACAGAAGAGGAGAGUGGAACUCCAUGUGUAGCGGUGAAAUGCGUAGAUAUAUGGAAGAACACCGGUGGCGAAGGCGGCUCUCUGGUCUGUUACUGACGCUGAGGCUCGAAAGCAUGGGUAGCGAACAGGAUUAGAUACCCUGGUAGUCCAUGCCGUA
rnacentral:rRNA from 1 species